AUUGAACGCUGGCGGCAGGCCUAACACAUGCAAGUCGAACGGUAACAGGGAUCAGCUUGCUGAUUCGCUGACGAGUGGCGGACGGGUGAGUAAUGUCUGGGAAACUGCCUGAUGGAGGGGGAUAACUACUGGAAACGGUAGCUAAUACCGCAUAACGUCGCAAGACCAAAGAGGGGGACCUUCGGGCCUCUUGCCAUCGGAUGUGCCCAGAUGGGAUUAGCUAGUAGGUGGGGUAACGGCUCACCUAGGCGACGAUCCCUAGCUGGUCUGAGAGGAUGACCAGCCACACUGGAACUGAGACACGGUCCAGACUCCUACGGGAGGCAGCAGUGGGGAAUAUUGCACAAUGGGCGCAAGCCUGAUGCAGCCAUGCCGCGUAUGAAGAAGGCCUUCGGGUUGUAAAGUACUUUCAGCGGGGAGGAAGGGAGUAAAGUUAAUACCUUUGCUCAUUGACGUUACCCGUAGAAGAAGCACCGGCUAACUCCGUG
rnacentral:rRNA from 1 species